rnacentral:rRNA from 1 species
GACGAACGCUGGCGGCGUGCUUAACACAUGCCAGUCGAACGGAAAGGCCCUGCUUUUGUGGGGUGCUCGAGUGGCGAACGGGUGAGUAACACGUGAGUAACCUGCCCUUGACUUUGGGAUAACUUCAGGAAACUGGGGCUAAUACCGGAUAGGAGCUCCUGCUGCAUGGUGGGGGUUGGAAAGUUUCGGCGGUUGGGGAUGGACUCGCGGCUUAUCAGCUUGUUGGUGGGGUAGUGGCUUACCAUGGCUUCGACGGGUAGCCGGCCUGAGAGGGUGACCGGCCACAUUGGCACUAACGUACGCGCCAGGCUCCUACGGGGGGCAGCGGGGGGGAAUAUUGCACAAUGGGCGGGAGCCUGAUGCGGAAACGCCGCGUGCGGAAUGCAGGCCUUCGGGUUGUAAACCGCUUUCGCCUGUGACGAAGCGUGAGUGACGGUAAUGGGUAAAGAAGCACCGGCUAACUACGUG